rnacentral:rRNA from 1 species
AGCGCAGGCGGGAAGACAAGUUGGAAGUGAAAUCUAUGGGCUCAACCCAUAAACUGCUUUCAAAACUGUUUUUCUUGAGUAGUGCAGAGGUAGGCGGAAUUCCCGGUGUAGCGGUGGAAUGCGUAGAUAUCGGGAAGAACACCAAUGGCGAAGGCAGGUCUCUGGGCCGUUACUGACGCUGAGGAGCGAAAGCGUGGGGAGCGAACA